CAGCAGCCSCGGUAAUACAKAGGGUGCGAGCGUUAAUCAGAAUUACUGGGCGUAAAGCGUGCGCAGGCGGUUCGUGAUGUCUGAUGUGAAAGCCCCGGGCUCAACCUGGGAAUUGCAUUGGAAACUAGCGGGCUGGAGUGUGGCAGAGGGGGGUGGAAUUCCMCGUGUAGCAGUGAAAUGCGUAGAGAUGUGGAGGAACACCGAUGGCGAAGGCAGCCCCCUGGGUCAAGAUUGACGCUCAUGCACGAAAGCGUGGGGAGCAAACAGGAUUAGAUACCCUGGUAGUCCACGCCCUAAACGAUGUCUACUAGUUGUCGGGUUUUAAUUAACUUGGUAACGCAGCUAACGCGUGAAGUWGWCCGCCUGGGGAGUACGGUCGCAAGAUUAAAACUCAAAGGAAUUGACGG
rnacentral:rRNA from 1 species